UAGUUUCAGCUACGCAUAAUUAUUUAAAGUUUAUUUGGAUUUUGAACGGGCUAAUAAGCGAUACAUUAUUUUCUAUAAAUUUGUUAGUCUUAUUGAUCUGCAGUUUGGAAGAAGCUGCAAAAUUUCAACCAAGAAAAUGAAGAGUUUAGCUUUAAUACUUCUUAGCUACGCGUAUUUCCUAGUUUCGAAUGCUCUAUCCUUUGAUCCCCGCUGUUUUGCAACACCGAGUCUAAAUGAUGAUGUGCAGAAACCGAAAAUGAAAAGGCAAUGGUAUUUCAAUUUUGAAAAGAAUAUGUGCAUUUCGUUCAAUUGGAAUGCCACUUUGCCAAGUGGCGUCGAAAAUCGUUUUCCAACAAAAUCCGACUGCUUGCAAAGGUGCAAGUACUAGUCAAAAUCGGUAUUAUAAAUACAAUAUUUAUUAAAUAUAUAAUAUAAUUUAUAAAUUAGAAUUUAUAAUACAUGUGCCCGUCAUUCAAGAAAA